rnacentral:rRNA from 1 species
AUUGAACGCUGGCGGCAGGACUAACACAUGCAAGUCGAGCGAGAGGCGGACGGGGGAGGAAUGUCUGGGAAAAUGACUGAGGGAGGGGGAUAACUACUGGAAACGGUAGCUAAUACAGCAUACAAUCAGAGGUGACCAGAUGGGAUUAGCUAGUAGGUGGGGUAACGGCUCACACAGGCGACGAUCCCUAGCGGGUCUGAGAGGAUGACCAGCCACACUGGAACUGAGACACGGUCCAGACUCCUACGGGAGGCAGCAGUGGGGAAUAUUGCACAAUGGGCGCAAGCCUGAUGCAGCCAUGCCGCGUGUGUGAAGAAGGCCUUCGGGUUGUAAAGCACUUUCAGCGGGGAGGCGUUACCCGCAGAAGAAGCACCGGCUAACUCCGUGCCAGCAGCCGCGGUAAUUC